UCUUGAAUCAUCUCACGAACAUUCUUAGGAUCUUAUUAUUCUUGUUGAUUUCUAUCGUCUCCUCCCUCUUCAAAAGGAUUCAUCGUCGAAUCUUCACCUACAUCAAAAGAGGAAAGAUCAGUAAUAUUAAAAGUAGCACUCACAUUGUAUUCACCGGGGAGAUCCAACUUAUAAGCAUUGUUAUUAAUCUUGGCCACCACUUGA
rnacentral:misc_RNA from 1 species